rnacentral:rRNA from 1 species
AUUGAACGCUGGCGGCAUGCCUUACACAUGCAAGUCGAACGGUAACGCGGGGCAACCUGGCGACGAGUGGCGAACGGGUGAGUAACGCAUCGGAACGUGCCCAGUAGUGGGGGAUAGCCCGGCGAAAGCCGGAUUAAUACCGCAUACGACCUACGGGUGAAAGCGGGGGAUCGCAAGACCUCGCGCUAUUGGAGCGGCCGAUGUCAGAUUAGGUAGUUGGUGGGGUAAAGGCCUACCAAGCCGACGAUCUGUAGCUGGUCUGAGAGGACGACCAGCCACACUGGGACUGAGACACGGCCCAGACUCCUACGGGAGGCAGCAGUGGGGAAUUUUGGACAAUGGGCGCAAGCCUGAUCCAGCCAUGCCGCGUGCGGGAUGAAGGCCUUCGGGUUGUAAACCGCUUUUGUCAGGGAAGAAACGCUCUGGGCUAAUACCCCGGGGUAAUGACGGUACCUGAAGAAUAAGCACCGGCUAACUACGUGCCAGCCGCCGCGGUAAGAC